rnacentral:rRNA from 1 species
GACGAACGCUGGCGGCGUGCUUAACACAUGCAAGUCGAACGGAAAGGCCCUGCUUUUGUGGGGUGCUCGAGUGGCGAACGGGUGAGUAACACGUGAGUAACCUGCGCUUGACUUUGGGAUAACUUCAGGAAACUGGGGCUAAUACCGGAUAGGAGCUCCUGCUGCAUGGUGGGGGUUGGAAAGUUUCGGCGGUUGGGGAUGGACUCGCGGCUUAUCAGCUUGUUGGUGGGGUAGUGGCUUACCAAGGCUUUGACGGGUAGCCGGCCUGAGAGGGUGACCGGCCACAUUGGGACUGAGGUACGGCGCAGACUCCUACGGGAGGCAGCAGUGGGGAAUAGUGCACAAUGGGCGGAAGCCUGAUGCGGCAACGCCGCGUGCGGGAGGACGGCCUUCGGGGUAUAAACCGCUUUCGCCUGUGACGAAGCGGGAGUGACGGUAAUGGGUAAAGAAGCACCGGCUAACUACGUG